GCCGCGUGACAAUCGGUGCAUCUCCCCCAGAAACGCCGCGUGACAAUCGGCUUAAUAAUGCUUCAGUGUGUGGUACUCCUCAAAACACGGGACAGCACACAAGGGAGUGUUGCAUGGCACACACAUGUGCUUGGUGAGGCGCCUCUGCUUGCCCUUGCGUGUGCUGGAGAGGCAGACCUUGCAGUGCCGCCUGGUCUUGCUGCCCUGGGAAGUGGUCUGAGGGACUUCAGAUGGGAAAUGCCUGGCUGUAAGGCGCAGAGGAGUGUCCAAGGCAGGACGCCCGCCUUUGGUUGGACCUCGCAAUGUGCUGUACUCCUCCAGCAGCCCUCUCAUCAGCACACAGACUGGCUUCAUCAUUGGUUGCCCAGUGAGGUGAUCCAGCUUGCCUGUGGCUGCCAUACCAGUUGGAUGGAC